CUUGUCGUUUUAAUCGUCCGUAUUUUAUCCAAUAUCGGUGGUAUCCAAAGAAAGCAAGUCGGCGAACGGCGGUGUUUUCCUUAAGACUCUCUCGAAGAGUCACGAAGCAUCUCCACGAGCCGACGACCCGAAAUCCCGUGAUAGCGGCGACGAGGACGACGGUACAGACACGUGACAUACAUUGAUAUACCGGAGCAUGUAUCACCACCGGCACGAGAAACAGAUCGCAGCACGUCGUACAGGAACGCAGACGAAACGAUGGAACAUUAAACAGACGGUGUAGCAACGAAAUAUGAUCGAGACAAUAUCGGAGUUGGCACUGAGAAUCACUUCACAUCGAAAUACACGUUCACAUAGUCACGAUACGCGAAUGAAUGACAAGUCGUAGUCUUCGUGCUUGAAGGAAAUUCGAACGCAACCGAUAAUAAUCAGAAGUGGUAUUCGAAUGUAGCGUGGUUCUUCUUAAUUUCACACAUGCCACAGGAUAACCACGCGCGAUCUCAUCGAAAGGGUGUAAUUUGGUAGCCCGAUACGUCGCACGACACCCUAAAGCGAUAUUCGAGGUAAACGGAAGAACGAUGUAUCGGGCACGAUAACUAGGAUCACACUGACGGCGAUGGUGACGAUUAUGACGAUAGCGACGACGAUGACAUCGACGAUGAUGAUGAUGACGACGACAGCAACAACAAAGACGACGGCGACGACGACGACGACGACGGCGACGACGACGACGACGGCGGCGGCGACGGCGGCGACGACGACGACGACGACGACGACGACGAUGACGACGACGACGACGACGACGACGACGGCGACGACAACGACGUGGAGAACUUUUUUCCAACGGGGUCUGCUCCGUUGGCUGCCCAGGGUCAACCGGCUGGCUCCGAGCGCGGCACUUUUACCCGUUGGGUACUCUCAAGGACUCGGAGGUAGCUCCUAUUCCUUUCUCUUAUCCUUUCGCGCGCGCGCCUUUUUUAUCCCGCUAACCUUUUUAAGCGCACUUUUAAUUCCGCUCGGCCGCGUGUCUCCGUGCAGCGUGCACGAGCUCUCCAAGAUCUUAUUGUAAAAGAGCGACGUACGUCGAGCAGGAUCGCCGGGGGAUGUAUUAUCGAUCAAAGUGGAGAGAGACACUGGGAAAAUCCAGUACGCCGAAAGGGUGAACCAGAGUCGAAAGACUAGAAAAGUACGUGGUCUCUCGUCAGAGUUGAGAAAGAUAACAAGUGGAUUCAGCCACAUCCGGAUCGUCUUUCAAACUUGUCCUCCGCUACUACUGGUGUCCUCGACAGAGAGACUUCUCCGUCCUUUUCCUCUUUCUCCCGGUUGCCGAGCCGUCUGACUUCUUCUUUCACGACUCGGCACUCCGCCGGCCGCUUCGUCGUCGUCCACCCCCUGAGACGAUCCAGAACUCGUGCUCGAACACCGUAUCUCCACUGCGUAUCGUUGCCUUACAAUUUCCUGCGACGCGGCGGAUCACCGCCGUUUCUCUCUCCUUCUUCCACUUGCUUCUCUUCUUCCUCUCUGCCUCUCCCUUUCUCUAUCUCCUUUCUCUUCUGGUUUUGUAAUCCGUUUUACGAAACUUCUAUAGCCCGGACGUGGUAGCGGUGGCGGUGGCGGUGGCGGUGGCGGUGGCGGUGGCGGUGGCCGUGGCGGUGGCGGUGGCGGUGGCGGUGGCGGUGGCGUGUGGUGGAAGCGAACGGGACGCGAUCGAAGGAUCAAGAGACGGGCUCGAAUUCUACCACGAAAUUGGCUGCUAAAGGCACGCCGUGACAGGGGAUCCUGGUGCCUUCUUCGUCCCGGAAGCGGGUUACCGGUGGGAUACCAGCGACGACCUUGAACACUCGCGUUUCGCAGCGCACAACACGACCAACAAACAUACGAGAACGAUCGUUUCCAUCGCUUUCCUCGUCGACGUCGCGGACACGGUCGACGAUUCGGACGAACACGGGCAACGAUUGUGAUCGAACGCGUUCACCGUAUGCGCGCUCUUUCACCUGUUUUCGUCGCGGGAGAGACCAAACCGAGAGUUCGCGUCGGCGUGCACCAGCGUCGUCUAAUCGGAAUUAGACACAGAUUUCACGAAGCAGCGGACUAGAAAUGUUGUUACACAAUUGCACACUUCUUUUCUUGCUCCCGUUUUCCGUCUCGUCUCGUUUCGUUUCGUUUCGUUUCGUUUCGUUCCGUUUCGUGCGUUCCACUGUUCGAGUUCCCGACAAUCACCGUGUUCCUUCCGCGGGAAUGGUGCCCGCGAUCGACUCUCGCUUAGGAGACACGUCCAAGAGAAACAGCUCGAAGGUGGGACCAAAUCCGAAAGCCACCGAGAGAAAGACAGAGAGAGAGAGGCAGAGAUAUUCGGCUAUGCCCAGCCUACGAGACAGGAUCGGAUUUUAGCGCGCUCCGCACGCGCUCCCGCGAGCCCAACUCGGCGGUUUCAACUUUUACUUUCAGCUCUUACACAACGCAGCCCGCUCUUGCUUGGUACGUAAGCGGCAACCAAGCACCGAGUCUCGCUCUUUGCUCUUCCGAAGCUUCUUCUUCUUUUUCUUCUUCUUUUCCUCCUUUCCACCUUCUUCUUUCUCCUUUCUCCACCUUUCCCUUCCUUUCUCUUCCUUUCGCUCCGAUCCUUUCACGAUUUCACAAUUUCCCCAGCUGUCUCGGCUAUCUCUCUCUUUAUUUCUUCCUUUCUUUCCCCCUUUCUCUCUCUUUCUCUCUUUCUCUCUUUCUCUCUCUGUCUCUCCCUCUCUCUCUCGCUUUCCCUGUGUCACAGUUCCAAUUCUUGCGAUGUUAAAUAUCGUCGUAUCGAUGCCGACGAUGCACAACCGCGAUCCGCUUAAACCGUUGACAUUCUUCUGAAAUCCCCGAAAAGCUCGUUUAAUAUACGACACCGGACUUACCUAAAGAGCACGUGCGUCGACGAAAGCACGUGCGGAUGAGCACGUGUCCGGUGUUUUCGUUCGGCAGGAACGCGCACUCGGAUCGCACUGAUAACGACGUGUUGUGCCACUCGUUUUCAGAUACCACGAUAUAAUAAAAAGCCGGAGAAAAUUCACGGUGCGGACGAUGUCCGAUCGUGUCGGCACAGUCCCAUGGAAAUCCGGUAGAUAGGAGCAACCAGAGGCCACGUGGCCUCCCGACGAAGACUCGCGGCGAACGACGGCAACGAUCACGACCACGACCACGACAACAAUGACAACGACGAUGAUCGUGAGCACGAUCACCGAUAGAAACGAAACGUUAACAAUGUUGUCGUUGACUUUCACGAAAUUUGUCUCACUACACACGCGUUGCACACACGCACGUCAUACACAGAAACGACACGUUCGAUCGACACGAUGUAUGUUUUUCGCGCGUGAUCUCUCUCUCUUUCUCACUUCGCCGGAGGACUUCUUCAGGGAGAGAGGGUCUCUUCCGGUCUCCGCGGUGUGUCUCACUGCUCCUCGCUCCGUCGUAACUUUUGCGCAAACCCGAGACCCUCUCUUACUCUCUGUGCUGUUCACGCUCUCUCACUCUUUCCUUCUUUCUCUUUUCCUCUUUCUCCCCCCUCUCGCUCUCUUUUCCCUCCCUCUCUCUCUCUUGUCCCUCUCUCUCUCUCUCUCUUUCUCUCUUACUCUCUCCCUUUCUCUCUGUCUCUCUGACUAUCCGUCUAUCUCUAUCUCUACCUCUAUCUCCGUUCUGCGUACGAUACUUCGCUUUUUCUCUCUCUUUCUCUUUCUCUGGCUGGUCCUAGGUAAACGCGAAGAGAGGUAGACUGGGCAGUCGACGAGUGACUACGGUGGUGGUGGUGGUAGUGAUGGUGGUGGUGGUGGUGGUGGUAGUGGUGGUAGUGGUGGUAGUGGUGGUGGUUACGAUGGUGGUGGUUGAUGCGAUCCGAUAGUAGUGGUGGUACACGAAUUCCGCUUGAAACGAGUGCGUAUAUACCGUCCACUGAUCGGAGCGUGGCAGGACGGUGACAGUGACGAUGAUGGUAACUGUGGUAGUAGUGACUCUGCGGUGGUGGUGGUGGUGGUGGUGGUAGAGAAGAGGCCAGGUGGGCCCCGUGGCUUACAGACGAGCCCAGAAAGGGUUGAGGGUCCGAAAAGCACGGUUCUCUCUCUCUCGAGAACUCCCGGCGGAAUACUCACGCUAGAGAGGAGGCCUCGCGAGCCUCGUGAGUUCGUUCGUAAAGGGACCGUAGUAUUGGUUCCUCGUCGAGUGGCACCUCUUCUCUUCUCUCUUCCUCUCUUACUCGCUCUCCCUCUAUCUAUCUUUUUCCUACGCUUACUCUUUCCUCCCACCAUUGCCCCACCACCUACCACCACCUUCCUCCACUCUCCCUUUCCCCACUGGUGCUCUCACUAUUACAUUACAAAUAGCUCUCUUGCCUAGGCCGCGUUUGUGAGGUGUUGCUCCUUCCGUGCACAUUUAUGUUACUCAACAUUGUGUGCAAGUACGCGCGCCACGAUUCACGUGUGGAACCUGUGUGUUUGUGUUCCUCGAUGCACAUGCACGAACCGUCGUACGAUAAGAGUACAGACUUCGUCUGUUUUCGUUUCUUCCGUCUUCUUCUCUUCCUCUCUCUCUCUCCCUCCCGCCCUCCCCGCCUGCUCCCCCUCUCGCCACCCGCCCUGUCUCACUCCCUUCUACGUUCUCCUUUUCUCUUUCUCUGUUUUUCAUCUUUUCUUUCUCGUUUCUCCGUCUAGACGCGCGCAUAUGUCCAUAUCGUUCGGUAGUGUGCACACGUACGAACGCACACGCGAAAAUCGCAACCACUCUAUACUCUUUAUUCUCGUCCUCGUCGCUCGGAUGCGGCCGAAUAGCGAGUUUCUUUGUCACGAUAAUGGUGUAAUACAAGGCUCCGCUCGUGCUCGUGCACGUAAUACGUAAGAAUGGAGCGAGAGAGCUUCGCAGACCCUUGCGCGCCUCUCCUUUUCUUUCCUUCCUUCGUUCUUUCGUUCUUUCUUUUACCCUUUCUUUUUUUUCUUUCUUUCAUUUCGUUUCAUUUCCUUCCUCCUCUUCCCUACGACCCGAGCUCUCUCACCCCGUCUUUUGCGACCCAACGUUUCCGUUCUUUCUGUGCGUCCUCCCGUGAGCCUUUUCCUCCUGUGUCCACCAUGUCUAUCUCUGUAAUCUCUGUCCCGUUCCCUCUAUUAUUCUGUCUUCCUUUAUCACCGGCUGAAACUUUAUCUUUUGCUUUUCACUGCCCUCCCUCGAUCCGUCCCACUCCCACUCUUUGUCUUUCCCGCUUCUUUUCUCACUCCGCCUCGAUCCUCUGGUCUAUGCGAACGAGCAAACGCGCUUGCGCGUCUCUUCAGUCUCUCGCGAACCGAGCAGAUAGAACGUUAUGUUUUCACCGCCUCCCUUCUUCCUUCCCCUUCCUCCUUCCUGUAAAUCCCUCUCUAGGCUCCAGAUCGCUCUCUCGUUUCUUUCGCCGACCUUCCAACACGUACCUAUUCUCCUUUCGUUCACCUAUCACUCCCACGUGCUUUCUUCCCAUUUAAGAACGUAUGGCCCGCGACCGGCCGUUUCAUCCAAUCGGUUCGAGCGCGCGACCGUCGCGCGUACUCUUUUUCAUCCGAAGAAUUAUGUCGUUGUUCCAGUUAUGCAUCGGAAACGCUUUCAGCCGUGAUCGAUAGUGAAAUGCUUGAAUGACUCGCUGGUAAACACCUACUGCUUCGAGCUUCCUCCGCGUUUACUUUGAUUACGAGUUUAGCUCGUGACACGAACAUCUUUAACCGCUCUUAUCGUCGGAUUAACCGGUUCUGCUUAUUUGUCCGUUUGUACACGGUCCGUUCCAUGCUUCGAUCGUUUACAAAAGACUCGCUUGCUUACUAUGCUGCAAUUCGAAUUUUUUAGAAUGGUCCGAUGGUCCAUUCGCAGCUUUGCGCGGUAGUUGCUUCGAAUCGAUAAUUACGCGUCGCAAAGCAUCGUAAAAGUUGCAAGGAAACUCUCGUUAUCGCGAACCGGGUCUACGAAAAACGAGCGGAAGCUUUUCAGCGACGUUUUUUCAUUCAUUGUUGCGAUUCGUGUCAGCCGUCUGUACGCCGCGCGUUCGUUUCAUUAACGAAAGCUUUAGCUCGUGAACGUUUUACUUUUCAUUCGGACUAUUUAUAAACAUUCUUCGAAAGAAUUUCAUGGCCGACUGGUGUGGCUUGAAUUCGAGUCGGUGCACCAGGUAUGCGAUUGUUUCGUCGUUCCUCUUUCUCUAGCCAGAUAGCAGGGGACAGGCGUACCCGCAGCUAAUGCCAUUCGUAGAUUCGGUCAACGAUGUGCACGCGUCCGGAGAUUACGGCAGCGCAGCGGCUGGCUAUACUUAGAGCGGUAGACGAAUUUCGCUCGGGGGACGCUCCGAAAGGAGGUCGAGAAACAGCUGAUGCGAUAUGUGUUGCGUUCAGCUCCUCGCCGCGAUAAACUCUUCCUAUGCUCUUUCUCGCCACGAAACAUAGUCCGACCGUAUUAACACGUUGACUGUCGGACGAAUUUUGCAUGUUUUACGUAUAAAGUGCGAACGUUGUCGCUUAUUUUAUUAGCAUCGUACGUAAGAUUUUGUAAGAUGCGUAUAUAGUAUGCCCGAUUUAAAUAUAUAUACGCGCUAUAUUCUUAAGCAUCGUAAAUGCAAGGGAAUAUUUUAUACGAAAGUCGGUGUUUCUUUCACGGAAGAAACUCAACGCUAUUACUACCGACUAAUACGUAGCUACUUGCACGUGUAUGUAAUAUACAAUCGGUUAAAAUUAAAACGAUACGAAACUAUCCAAGUAUAUGUGAUUAUGUUCCUAUCUCGAUAACGGUAAACGCUAAUAUUGAUAAAAAUACUUGCAUGCUUUCUAACCGGGGAUAAAAAGAUCUGGUACCGGUCAUUUUGAUUUGGUAGCUUUGUUGUUCGUAUAACAUUUUGAUUUUUAUUUUCAUUGUUAUUACAUUAUAUACAUGUUGUUUUAAUAACGACGUAAUUUUUUUUAAACGGAGCUGUUGUUACUGUCGUCACUUUAUUAUACAUUUCAUGAGAUGAAUUCAACAAUAUACAUCACGAGUACAUUUCAACGUUAAUUUGUGAAAAAUUACUAGCAAAUACGUAAGUAAGUUUGUAUCUUCUAGUCGUGCCAUCUGUGUCUACGAUACGAGAAACAAUCGAGUCGAAUGCUUUUGUUUAAAGGAGUGAUUACAUUAGCGUGUUCCUACAUAUAUGUAAUACCGCGUGUACCCUCGAUCCAGGGGUAUACAGACUACAACAACCAACAUUGUUACAGCAUUUUCUAGAGCAUUUAGUACUUGGCGUCAGCGUAAUUACGAAUAUUGAAAACUGUACGAAUAGACCGCUUAUUUAAUUUAAAUCAUCGAUGACCUCCAUGGUGCCCCUGGUAGAUCUAUCGUUAAUCACGAGUAAGUCGUAUGACAUACGUGUUAAUUCGAUUUCUUCGAUCGAAUAAAGUACUUGCGGCUAUAACAAAAAGCAAAGAUCGAGGGAGCCUUGAAAUAAAAUAAUCGGAGCCGGAAUAACGUGAAAAUGUCAGUACGUUGCUUUGUUCGAGUUGUACGAACUGUCGUCGGCCUCGUUCGAUUUAUUUCGUGAUUUAAUAGUAGGUGCUGGAAGACGUUGAACAGGCCCGUUACUGUGUUCCACCUGCGUUAAAAAUGUCAUCCUCUCGCUUAAUAAUUUAGUCGCUAAUCGAUGAGAAAUCGAUGACCUUUUGGACAAAUAUGAGCGUGGUAACUUGGUAACGCCGUCUUAAUCAAUUGAAUCCAACGUUCGAUCGUUUCGACAGUCGAUAAAAAGAAAUGCGAGCGGUAGCGAUGCGUUUCCCGGAGGUGUAUCAACGUUAAAUGUCAGGUUAAUCAUCGUUCACGCGAUCCAUUAUUUGACGUUGAUUAUCGAAAAAUUGACGACGAUUUUUCGAAUGAACGAACGUAAAAACGUAAAAGGCAAACUCUUUCUCCGUUCUUUUUCCUAUCUUUCUUUCUCUUCCAAGAAGCCGUCGUACGUUACGUUAAAUAUUUACCCGUGCUAUCUACGUCGGCGUAAUUGCGAGAAAUUAAUUAAUUCGCGCGCAGUCUCGUGGACUCGGCCCGUUACCGCCUGGCGUCGAGUUAUCGAGCUCGAUACUAUUUAUUUAUUUAUGGUGCGGUCUAAAUUAAAAGCGCGUCGAGAAGGCCAAACGCCUUGCGUAAUCGUUACAGGGAACACUCGGCUGUUUAUCAUUACGUGCGAAAGAUAGAAGGAAGUGGAGGGGGAAAAAGGAAGUGAGAGAGAAAGAAGAACGAAGAAAAGAGAGAAAAGUUGCAAGGUCCUGUUCGACCUCGGCACGCAUGCAAUUAAACGCUCUGCUAUUUUUUUUUCGCAAUUUCUUCUUUGUUUUCCACUGUACCAUCGAGAUCUGCGUUUUGCUAGUAUUCGUUUCCUUCGGUUUUUGCUUAAUUUGCAUUCGUCUUGCUCGUUAUUUAUCACAGCGUAGUAUUCUUCGUUUCAUCGUAUAGCCAAUGGAGGAAAAGCCGACAGAUGCCGCGCAAAUUGCUUGGUGAACUUCUAUCUUGCCGUUGCUUUCUACAUUGAAUUCGUCUAGUUGAAAGUCGUGACAGAGACUCGUAACUAUAAACUACUAACGUCGACCAUGUACAUAGGUGGUGAGCAAACAUUUCUCUCGCUAUCUGCACAAUCUUAUCACCUUAGAAAUUCUUUUCCCCGCCUGACUCAUGCGACGGUAUAUGUAUAAUUAGGACAGCCUACUCCAGUCGUCGCGUCGUUGUCGACCGGUAAAACGAAUUCAACUCUUUACCACGGCGGAAUCGAAAGGUCUUUCGUGCGAUAGCGUUUCCCCGCAGCCACCAUUUCCAUGCUUACAAUUUCUAACUGUUGCGUCCGCGAUUUGAUAUUUCACGCAAUACAUAAUCUUCUAUGAACGUUGCUCAACGCAGUCUGUCGCUCGACGUAAUUCUUUACGAACGUGUAUACGUUAUAUAUAGUUAUAUAUAGUUGGAACGGCACGCGCGAAAGUAUCAGCCUCCUUCUGUCACAGGCAACGUAAAAGAACAGAAAUUCCGUUGACACGGCACUAUGCACAGAAAUUAUGGAACAACACCCUUGGACCGCUUGGUCUCUUUCGUGAGACGGUCUCACCCUACUCCUAACUCCUUCGCUCCGUCUUUUUCUCCGUCCAUUUCUCUCUCCUUCUCUCUUCCACUGUCGGACUCUCCUUUCUAACUCUCCUUACUGCUACCUCGUCCCAUGAGAUGGUCGCCGACCGUCGUACUUGCACCUUUCUCACAACACGACGCGACGCAGCUCUAGCCAUUCCUUCUUUCCUUGUCCCUUUCACUCGAAUCGAACCAGAAGGGGAAAGAAGCUUCAGCGAAACGAGAAAGAAAGAGAGAAGAAAACCGUGAAAAGGGAAGGGAGAAGCGGGGACGAAGGUGCAACGGAACGGGAUGAAAAGGGGGACGAGAGAAGAAAGAGGGAGAAAGAGAGAAGGAGAGUGUCGAAAGAGAGAACGAGUGAGAAUGUCGAAGAGUGAGAGGGGGGGGGGAGAGAGAGAGAGAGAUAGGGAAGGAGAAUGCAGAAUGAGAAAUAGAAAGACGGAGAUCCAGUUUGACCGUAUAGGUUAGAUCCUCGUUGGUCUCGUAUAUUUCGAGGUGACUCGUUUUAUUGCGAAUCCGGUUUGCUUCCCGUGACGGAGGGUGAAGCAAGAAAGCGCGCGAGGACGAGAGGAAGAGAAAGAGAGAGAGGGUGAACGCGCGAGAGGGCUGCGAUGGACGGCGAAGGAAGUGGAGGAGGAGGAGUCGUAGGAAAAGGAAAGGAAAGGGAGGGAUCUUUCUUUGGUCGUUCCAACGAUACGGGCCCUCCCUUUCUCCUCUCAUUCUCUUCUAGUCGACGCUGCACGCUUCGUUGCUGAAUCGUUGCCUGUCGAGCUUCCAUCGUUGCUGCCUCGGAAGAGACGGCGAACGCGCGUCGGUGAUGCUUGCUCUUGUUGCUACCGCUAGUUGCUACCGACCGGUAGUUCGAACACCGAUGCACAUUACGCGAUGCUGGUGUAGGUGAUAGAGGUGACGAAGCUGGAGGUGGUGGCCAGUUUCAAGGUUGCCUCCUCGAUCGUUACAACUUGCGCACACAGUUAACAACUAGUCGUACUCAUCUUGGACGAUUUCUUGGGCACGAUUUUCUACCGGUGGGGCUGUGACGUUCAACCUCAAAGCCAAAGGAAUUUGCGCACUCACGAGACCCGAGCACGGUAGCCUGAUCCUAAAGACUUGCAGUGUGACUGGCACCUCUCCCCUAGCCGACACGUUCACUCUGGGAGGAAGCAGUGCCAUCAUUCCGGAAACACCGCCCGGAACACCGACUACGUCGUAAUCCAAUUCCAUCGAGUACGGUAACUGAUUCACGGCAUACGUACAUCGCUCUCAGCCAGCUUAUAAUUUGCGGAUCAAAUUGGCUCGUCCAUUCCAUCUAUCGAAGAAGGCGAGAUAAGUUAAUCUCACAAAUGCUGCAGUAAAAUUUCGUUGAGUCAGAGAUUCGAUGCAAUGUCCAGGAAUAGAGAUCUUUAUAGAGAUGAGAACGAUAGUCGAUCAACCGAGUUCAGUUACGUUCGUUUGCUUGAUAUCCACUUCAGGAUCCUCGUAAUAACGUAAAAACGUUUACUUAGGAAAUGUCUGCUUUCAUUCAGAGCCUGUUAAACUCCGGCACGCAGAUUUCGAAUCAGCUACCACGAACACUUGAAUCGCUUUCCAGCCACGCACACGGCUUCGCGUAUACUCCAUUGUGUACGGAACAAACCUCCGUUCGACGUGAAUCCGUACACCGUACAUUAUAGGCAUUGUUGGCGACGACGAAAAGGACGCCGUGUACGCUACACUAUCCUGCCCCGUGACAACAUCAACAAAACACAUGGACCUCCUGAUGGAUGCGGACUUCUCCAUUCGAAUACUUCGAAAUUGUUUUGGUGAUUUUGUUAUCGGUCACCGUUUGAACAAAAGAAUACACGGUGCUUCGUGCGAGAAUUCGAACGUUUGCAGUGGUGUACAAAAGUACCUGGCCAGAUAGAUUUUACAUUUUAUAUUUCAAAAGCAGUAUCUAAAAGGAUUUUACAGAUAGGAUAGAAGAGAUAAAAAUAUCGUCAAACAUAGAGCGAUGAUCAAGCAUACGAAUAAUACGAAAUUUUUAUUCGAGAAUUUAGUUUCGAAUAACAUAUAUCUCGCUCGUUAUAUUUCCAUUUAGAUUUCAUCUCCCUUUAUCGUUUUCGUCUCUCCUCGUCAUUUUGCACCGUCCGAAUAUUACAUAAUUGGCCGAUUACAAAUAAUUUUACGUGAUAAAUUUAAAACUAACUGUGAGAAAAAUUUCAUCUGAUAGUAGAUAUAAGAGCAUGGAACAACCGAAGGAAAAUAGUAUCCACAACAAAUAAACAUUGUUGCGUGGUUGUACAUGAUAUCAGUUAAAUUUCUUUGAAGUAUCGUUCUUGAAAUACACAAUGAAAAAUCUAUCUGACCAAAAACUUUAGCUUAAACUUAUCAUUGCACGUAUGCACCGUAUCAAUAUGAAGAUGUAUAAAAUAUAUUUGCCCCGUUGUUAUAUUUAUUACACAACGCCCACAAUCUCGCGGUGUGUUUUCGCAUUUUGGGCAGCGAAAAGGUGAAAUAUAACGGAAGGAUGUUACGAUUCACCGAUGGUGAUAAAUUUGUGUCAAAACGAUCGCUGAAACGAAAGUUUUAAAAUGAUAUAUAAUUAUUGGAGUAAAAUCGAUAAUGAAUCGAGAAAAGACGAUGUAAAACAAUUUUUUUUAUAAUCUAUGCGUUUAUUCCCUUCGAUCUAAGGAAAAGCGUAUUUCAAAAGAAAAUGUAAUACAUAAUUGUACCAGCGUUAUACUUAUGAAAAGUUUCAUUCAAAUAUGAUAUAGGCAAUAAUACGCCACUACUUUAAGGAUUACACGAUCGUAUUUAUGUAUAAUGGAUCGACAUCAAAGAUUUUAAACGAAUCAAAGGUAUUAUCGACAUUUUAAAUCGAAUUGCUGAUUAUUCGCGUCCUUUGUGCUAUUCCGGUGAACGAAGCGAAUUGGUUGAUUCCGAGCGAUGUAUUUACGUGCGUGCCAUGGAGUGUGGGUGAUGAAAAGUGUGCAACCAUGCAAAAACUGCGCUGAUAAAUGCGGCAUGUAACGUGGGGAAAAAGAUUACCGAUGACUGCUGUUUUGAUGAUUAAUCGGCACGCAUGGUUUACAAUCUGUAUUUCAAUAUUUUCAGAUAGACACCUAUAAUCAAUUAUAUCAUGUUUCCUGAACGUAAUGUAAUGCUUUGAUGCAAUUUAAAAUAGAAUAAUUUAUAACAUAAAGCCAUGAAAAUCGAACAUUCGAUCGAGGUGUCAUCGAUAUAACGUGGAAAACAAUAAAUAUUUCUGUAUACGUAGUACAAAUACGUUAGGUUAAGACACUUUACGUAGGGUAUCAAACAUCUAUUAUCGUUUGUAGAACGUUGCGUGAAAUACUGUAUAAAAUACCGAAUAAAAUACUGUGAA